rnacentral:tRNA from 1 species
GCCUUCUUGGUGUAAUGGUCAGCACACUCGGCUCAUAUUUGAGAGGUCCGAGGUUCAAGUCCCGGCGGGGGCG